rnacentral:rRNA from 1 species
CAGCAGCCGCGGUAAUACGGAGGGUGCAAGCGUUAAUCGGAUUUACUGGGCGUAAAGCGUGCGUAGGCGGCUAAUUGAGUCGGAUGUGAAAUCCCCGAGCUUAACUUGGGAAUUGCAUUCGAUACUGGUUAGCUAGAGUGUGGGAGAGGAUGGUAGAAUUCCAGGUGUAGCGGUGAAAUGCGUAGAGAUCUGGAGGAAUACCGAUGGCGAAGGCAGCCAUCUGGCCUAACACUGACGCUGAGGUACGAAAGCAUGGGGAGCAAACAGGAUUAGAUACCCCCGUAGUCCCUGUCUCUUAUAC